AAUAGAUACCCGGGUAGUCCACGCCGUAAACGAUGAGUGCUAAGUGUUAGAGGGUUUCCGCCCUUUAGUGCUGCAGCUAACGCAUUAAGCACUCCGCCUGGGGAGUACGGCCGCAAGGCUGAAACUCAAAGGAAUUGACGGGGGCCCGCACAAGCGGUGGAGCAUGUGGUUUAAUUCGAAGCAACGCGAAGAACCUUACCAGGUCUUGACAUCCUCUGCCAACCCUAGAGAUAGGGCGUUCCCCUUCGGGGGACAGAGUGACAGGUGGUGCAUGGUUGUCGUCAGCUCGUGUCGUGAGAUGUUGGGUUAAGUCCCGCAACGAGCGCAACCCUUGAUCUUAGUUGCCAGCAUUCAGUUGGGCACUCUAAGGUGACUGCCGGUGACAAACCGGAGGAAGGUGGGGAUGGACGUCAAAUCAUCAUGCCCCUUAUGACCUGGGCUACACACGUGCUACAAUGGAUGGUACAAAGAGCUGCGAACCCGCGAGGGUAAGCGAAUCUCAUAAACGCCGUUCUCAGUUCGGAUUGUAGG
rnacentral:rRNA from 1 species